rnacentral:rRNA from 1 species
AGAGUUUGAUCCUGGCUCAGGACGAACGCUGGCGGCGUGCUUAACACAUGCAAGUCGAACGAGAAUCUGCGGAAAGAGGAUUCGUCCAAUUGAAGCAGAGGACAGUGGCGGACGGGUGAGUAACGCGUGAGGAACCUGCCUUUCAGAGGGGGACAACAGUUGGAAACGACUGCUAAUACCGCAUGACAUAUAGAUGUCGCAUGGCAUUUAUAUCAAAGAUUUAUCGCUGAAAGAUGGCCUCGCGUCUGAUUAGCUAGUUGGUGAGGUAACGGCCCACCAAGGCGACGAUCAGUAGCCGGACUGAGAGGUUGAACGGCCACAUUGGGACUGAGAUACGGCCCAGACUCCUACGGGAGGCAGCAGUGGGGAAUAUUGGGCAAUGGGCGCAAGCCUGACCCAGCAACGCCGCGUGAAGGAAGAAGGCUUUCGGGUUGUAAACUUCUUUUGUCAGGGACGAGUAGAAGACGGUACCUGACGAAUAAGCCACGGCUAACUACGUGCCAGCAGCCGCGGUAAUACGUAGGUGGCAA